AUUUUAAAAAAAAAAUAUAAAAAUCAGAAUAUUAAAAAUAAUUAAUUUUAAGAAAUAAUUUAUAAUUAACUCAUAUAAUUGUCAGGGAGCAAAAUAAAAUAACAAAAUAUCAGGGGCUAAAAAGAUGAAAUUUCUUCGGGUGGGGGAAUUGUUCGUUCUCGGAAGGAAUGUAUCGAAAGGAAGGAAGCAGAGGGCUUGGACGUGACAUGGCGAUCGUAAGGCUGCUCCUAUCCGAAAAGAAGGGAUAAAAAAAAUCCUUCUUUAGGCCGUCUCUUCGGACUUUCCACUAACGCCGAAACAUUCUGCGCUUUUCUUUUCUCCUCCGCUUCAGUUCCUCCGGUAUCUCCGCCGCUUUGCAGUAUUCCUUGACUGCCGGAGAUCCUUCUUCUUGUUCCCUUUUCAUUCGGAACCCUAGCUUCGGUCCGUGGACAUGGGCGGUUCCGCUUCCGAGUCCUAGCCUCGGAGCUCCAGCCCCGCGACCGACAUGGACGAAGGCGAGGGCGAGAGCUCGUCGCCCGCGAGGCCCCUCGGCGGCCCCUCCCCCCGCGACGCCUUAAGGAACGAAAUCUACGAGCGGCUGCUCGACAGCGGCAACGAGGAGGUCAUAUCCAAUCCCAACCUCCGCGACCUGCUCGACGCCCACCUCAGCCGCUUGCCCCUCAGAUAUGGGCUUGAUCUGAACAUGGAAAGAGUAGAGGACGUGCUAUUGCAUCAGAAGAUUCUUGCAGAUGCUGAGGACCCAGACAAACGACCGAUCUUCCAUGUCCGCUUCAUGAAGGUACAAAAGUGCAUUCAGACCGGUGCAUGUGAGGAUGAUGCCCAGCAACAAUCUGUGAGAAUUGAUUCAAAUGGAAAAGGAUAUAGUGAUAUUGUCCAUGAAGGAGACAUGGUGCCAAAUUUAAGAAACAGAGACCGGGGAAUUGAAUUUGAACCUUGUUCAAAGCUUGAAGAUCUGAAUUUAGAUGUUAAAGAUAUUGCUCAAGAAAUCAGAGAUUCAAAGGAGGUUCAUUCUAUGAGGCACGAUAUCAAGGAUGUCGCGAUUCAUGAGAUAAUAUUUUCAUCAAUUGACAAGCCCAAGCUCCUUAGCCAGUUAUCUGCUUUGCUUGCCGACAUUGGGUUGAACAUCCGUGAAGCUCAUGUUUUUUCAACAACUGAUGGUUAUUCCUUGGACGUGUUUGAAGUUGAUGGUUGGCCAGAAGAGGAAACAGAUGGUUUGCUGAAGGAGCUGGAUGAUGCAGCCAUUGCAUAUAAUGAGGGUUCCUUGUCUGGCGCAUCUCGUUGUUCGUCCACCGAAAAGGUGCUGGGUUCACAAUCAAAGGUUGUUGAUUGGGAAAUUGAUAGAAGAUUUUUGAAGAUGGGAAAAAAGAUUGCACGUGGAUCUUGUGGAGAUUUGUAUCGUGCAACUUACUUGGGUCAGGAUGUUGCGGUGAAGAUUCUUAGAGCUGAUCAGCUAAAUGAAGCUUUGUUGCUGGAAUUUAAUCAAGAAGUAGAUAUUUUAAGGAGAGUUCACCAUAAAAACAUUGUUCACUAUAUAGGUGCAUGUGUGAAGCCUACAGAACUUUGCAUAAUAACAGAAUACAUGACUGGUGGAAACCUUUAUGAUCAUCUACAUAAGCAGCACAUAUCUUUGGAGCUCCCACACUUGCUGAAGUUCUCCAUUGAUAUCUGCAAAGGAAUGGACUAUUUGCACCAAAACAACAUUAUUCAUAGGGAUCUCAAGACAGCAAACCUGCUGUUGGAUGCCAACAGUGUUGUAAAGGUGGGUGACUUUGGUGUGGCUCGGUUUCAGAAUCAAGAGGGAGUCAUGACUGCUGAAACUGGUACAUACAGAUGGAUGGCCCCUGAGGUUAUAAACCAUCAACACUAUGAUAAUAAGGCAGACGUGUUCAGUUUUGCAAUUGUUCUAUGGGAGUUAGCAACAUCAAGGGUUCCAUAUGAUAAUAUGACACCCUUGCAAGCUGCUCUGGGAGUAAGACAGGGCCUACGGCCAGAUAUUCCAAAGGAUAUGCAUCCUAGAUUAGCAGCUUUGAUGCAGAGAUGCUGGGACGAGGUUCCUUCUAAACGACCCUCUUUUGAAGAGAUAACUCAAGAACUCGAGGAACUCUUGCACCAAGUUCAGGGAGACUAAGAAUUUGGAAAUUUGCUUUUCGACAUUUUAUGGGCAACUUCUGGUUAUUUUCUUUGCAAUCAGACGUCAGGUGAUACGAAGUAAGAAUCCAUCGAAGGAUCCCGCAAAUCAAGGAAGUCAAACAGAUCUAAAGAACAAGCUAUGUUUAGGAGCUCUGACGGAGACUAUAUUUCCAGCUUGAACAACACAUCCAUCGUGACAGCAGAUUGUUGAUGUCUCCCAUAAAACACAACUAUCCAUGUAUUAGUUCUGCAUCACAACUGGGAGCAGCUCCAGUGUUAGAAAGCCACGCAAAUGAUAUCAUCCAUCUACCGACCGUGGAUGGAUUUGGAUUUCCAAGGGGGGACGCCCACAGGUGCGAGGUUCGCGUGCGGCGGCCACGACAGCCGACGCCGCUGUGCUACGACCGUAAGCCCUCCCUCACCGCGGCACACGUGACGGUAAGACGCUGAUGGAACGGAACGCGACCGGCCGUCACGUGCCUUGGGUUACUCGCUUUUGCUGUUGAUUUGGGAGUGAGACGAAACAGCGACGAGAGGAAUGCAUUUAUAGACGUAAAAGUGAGAGAAGGAGAGCGUGUCUUUUAUUCGAUCUCUGCACGCAACAACAAAUAAAUAAAUGUUUGACAUUGGAGUAAUGAGCUGUAAAGAGAUGCAUCCAUUGGUCGAAGUAAAAGAAGUAAUAAGCACAGUUUAA